UUUUAGUUGGCUAAGGACUUUUGCAUGUAUUAACUCUUCCAAUUCUCAUAGCAACUGUAUAUGGAAGUUAAUAUGUUCGCAUUAAAGAUGAGGAAAUAGAAGUCGAGUAGUGAGUUUUGCCCAUAAUGUUACUCACUGGCAAGCCUAGAAUUGUCUUUAAUUUAUAAUUAAUAAUUUAUUCAUCUAACAAAAAAAUUUGCCUAACACCUACUACAUGCACUUUGGACAUGGUAAACAAUUAGUUGUCAAUUCAUCUACCUGUCUUCUUUUUGUAGCAAACGUAAGUGGUGGCACUGAACCAAUCCCUAGCUCCAGUAAUUGCUGGAUCGGCCUUUCCAAUCAGCAAAAUCCCUUCUCCCUUUUGAUUGUUCAUGCUUUAGGGAAGGGCUUCUAACUCUGGCUCCAGUCAAUCAACUGCCACAGUGACUGACUUAAGAGUUGUCACCUACGUUGUUCAAUGAGGGUUGGAGUUAGGAAUUUUCAUUUAAUGUUUAAGAAAGAGAUUCUUGCAAUUUCUCAGAAUAUGAACAGAGAACAACGUCCUGCCCCAGCUGAUGUGAGCCGUCAAUGGAAGCAAAGGGGAGAAAGCUGACAAUGAAGAAAGCAGAGCAGUAGAAAGAAUGAAACUGGGUUCUUGGAUGUCACCAGUUCUGGAUCAUCCUGAUGCUGCGACUCUGCAUUGCAAGACAUGCUAAGCAGCAGUUUUUCUCCAAUAAGAUUGUUGCAGUUGGUGAUGACAUUCCCAAGUACACCUUGUGCUGUGAUUAAGGAACAGAGAUAUGCAAGACUUCAGUUCCUGCCAAACACUCUCAUAGAUCACAGCUGAAAAUACCUUUGUCCCAAGGCAGUUGUCAGCCUGAAAAUUAUCACCCAAAGCAGAGAACAGUAGUUUGGAUUAAUGACAAAAUGAUUGAUCGAGGCUAGUGAAAUGCAUACUUGGUCAUAUUUAAAAGAAAAUACACGAAUAAACUUUACUCGACUGGACAAAAUGUAAGUGAAGCAGACAGCUGAGACCAUAACCCAUCACGAACAGGUUAAAGAUAAACAAAUAAAAGCAGAAGUGACUUGUGUUUCGAAUGGAGCUCUUGGACCUAUCAACAUAACCUUGGGACCAGAAAAUUUCAGAAUGUCAGAUUACAGGAGAGAAAUUUGGAUCUUUAAAAUUGAAAUGUAAUAAGCUUUCAAUAAUCAAGUAAACAGAUGUCAAAUCUAAGCAGUGAUGCACAUAUGAGUCAGAAUGCAAUCUGCAUAGAGGAGAAGCAUAAUAACUUGAAAAGGCAAGGUUUGAGAAACUUUGGAAGAUAUAUAUGUAAGCCCUAGAUAACUUUAUCAUUUAAGAAAGACUUGAAUCUCAUCCUUCCCAGUUUGUUUCUUAUGGCCAAUUCUAAUACAUGGAACCAUAAUUUCAGUAUCUGAUACCCAGGUCUAUUCAUUCUCCUCCUCUGUCAUUCUUUACCUAGAGUAGGCAUUCCCGCUUUGCCCCUUAAGUUUUAGACUGUGAUUGCAAUGGAUCAGGUAAGGAAAGAAGUGAUUGAGUGAAUGUGGGUUGCAGUAUCAUGUUAUUACCUCCAAAGAUACCUUCAUAGUAUUUUUUUCAGUUAAAAAAAUUGCAUGCAAUAUAAUCUACUUUUUUUAGUGUAUAGUUUUUUCUUUGUUUAGAAAAAAAAAGACACUUAUUGGUGUCAAAAAACAACCAAAAAGAUAUUUCAUCACCUUCCAAAAACAGUCUCUAAUGCUACCCCUUUUUAGUCAACUACUCCCCUCCACAUCUAACCAAGCAGCCACUGAUUAUUUUCUGUUUUUUGAUUCUGCCUCUCCACAAUUUCAUUUUUUUCUCCAAAAUUUCAUAUAAAUGAAAGCAUAUAGCAUGCAUCCCACUGAAUUUGGCUUAUUUUACUUAGCAAAAUAUGAUUGAGAUCCACCUAUGCUAUUGCAUACAUCAAUGGUUUAUUCUUUUUGAUUGCUAUGUAAUAUAUCAAACAGUUCAAAUGUAUUUUAUUUUAUUGAUAUACCUCAUUUUGUUUAUUCCCUAGUGAGUGACAUUUGGCUUAUUUCCAGUUUGGGGUCAUUUUGAAUAGAAUAUCUAUACACAUAUAAACUUUCACGUCCACGUUUUUGGGUGAACAUAACUUUUCAAUUCUAUUAAGUAAAUACCUCUAAAUAGGAUUGCUUGGAAGUGUGGUAAGCAUAUGGUUAACUGCAUAAGAAACUACCAAACUGUUUUUCAGGAUACCUGUAUGAUUUUUUAAUUCCCUGCAUCAACAUACAUAUCCUUGUCAACACUUGUUUAUCCAGUUUUUUUCUUUUGUUUUGUUUUAUUAACCACUCUAUUAGGUAUGUAGUGAUAUAUAUUCAUAUGCUUAUUCGCUAUCUGUAUGGUCAUAUAGUCAAAUCUUUGGCUCAUUUUUACUAGAUUGUUUGUUUUCUUGUUGAGCUUUGUGGGUUCCUUAUAUAUUCUGCAUACAAAUAUCUGUUGAGAUUUUUGACUUGCCAAUAUUUCCCAAAGUCUGUUACAUGUCUUUGUCUUUCACUUUUCUUAACGGUGUCUCUUAAAAAUUAGAAGCUUUUGAUUUUGAUAAAGUUCAAUUUAUCAAUUUUUUUUUUAAUUUAGUGGAUUUUGUUGUUUUAUCUAAGAACUUUUUGCCUAAGUCAAGGUCACAAAGAUUUUUUCUAUGUAUUCUCCCAGGUGUUUUUUAGUUUUUCG
rnacentral:lncRNA from 10 species